rnacentral:rRNA from 1 species
GUGCACCAGUCGAGAAAACUUCACACUGUGCGAAAGCACGAUGAGGGAAUCCCAAGUGCUUGCACGUAAGUGUAAGCUGUUUCUCUGUCUAAAACGCAGAGAGAGUAAGGGCUGGGUAAGACGGGUGCCAGCCGCCGCGGUAAUACCUGCAGCUCAAGUGGUGACCGUUAUUAUUGGGCCUAAAACGUCCGUAGCCGGUUUAAUAAAUGCCUGGGUAAAUUGUGUAGCUUAACUAUACGAAUUCCGGGUAGACUGUUAAACUUGAGACCGGGAGAAGUUAGAGGUACUCCUGGGGUAGAGGUGAAAUUCUGUGAUCCUAGGGGGACCACCAGUGGCGAAGGCGUCUAACUAGAACGGGUCUGACGGUGAGGGACGAAGCCC